rnacentral:rRNA from 1 species
GAGUUUGAUCCUGGCUCAGGACGAACGCUGGCGGCGUGCCUAACACAUGCAAGUCGAACGGUUCAGUGCCUAACACCGAGUAUUUUAGGAGCUCGUAAGUUGGUGAGAGCGAGAGCGCGAAGAAUGAGCGCUCCACGCAUAAAAUAAGUACCAACACAACUCAAAGAAUCAUCGGUGUUAGGUGCUGGAUAGUGGCGGACGGGUGAGUAACGCGUGGAUAACCUACCCAUGAGACCGGGACAACCCUUGGAAACGAGGGCUAAUACCGGAUAAGCUUUGACUCUGGCAUCAGGGACAAAGAGAAGGUGGCCUCUGAAAAUGCUACCGCUGAUGGAUGGAUCCGCGUCUGAUUAGCUAGUUGGUGGGGUAAAGGCCUACCAAGGCGACGAUCAGUAGCCGGCCUGAGAGGGUGAACGGCCACACUGGGACUGAGACACGGCCCAGACUCCUACGGGAGGCAGCAGUGGGGAAUCUUCCGCAAUGGACGAAAGUCUGACGGAGCAACGCCGCGUGUACGAUGAAGGCCUUCGGGUUGUAAAGUACUGUCUUCAGGGACGAAUGGUAGAUGUGUAAAUAAUGCGUUUACAUGACGGUACCUGAGGAGGAAGCCCCGGCUAACUACGUGCCAGCAGCCGCGGUAUACGUAGGGGCAAGCGUUGUCCGGAAUCAUUG